rnacentral:rRNA from 1 species
AGAGUUUGAUCCUGGCUCAGGACGAACGCUGGCGGCACGCUUAACACAUGCAAGUCGAACGAGAGAAGAGGAGCUUGCUUUUCUGAUCUAGUGGCGGACGGGUGAGUAACACGUGAGCAAUCUGCCUUUCAGAGGGGGAUACCGAUUGGAAACGAUCGUUAAUACCGCAUAACAUAAUUGAACCGCAUGAUUUGAUUAUCAAAGAUUUAUCGCUGAAAGAUGAGCUCGCGUCUGAUUAGCUAGUUGGUAAGGUAACGGCUUACCAAGGCGACGAUCAGUAGCCGGACUGAGAGGUUGAUCGGCCACAUUGGGACUGAGUCACGGCCCAGACUCCUACGGGAGGCAGCAGUGGGGAAUAUUGCACAAUGGAGGAAACUCUGAUGCAGCGAUGCCGCGUGAGGGAAGAAGGUUUUAGGAUUGUAAACCUCUGUCUUCAGGGACGAAAAAAGACGGUACCUGAGGAGGAAGCUCCGGCUAACUACGUGCCAGCAGCCGCGGUAAUACGUAGGGAGCGAGCGUUGUCCGGAAUUACUGGGUGUAAAGGGAGCGUAGGCGGGAUCGCAAGUCAGAUGUGAAAACUAUGGGCUUAACCCAUAAACUGCAUUUGAAACUGUGGUUCUUGAGUGAAGUAGAGGUGAGCGGAAUUCCUAGUGUAGCGGUGAAAUGCGUAGAUAUUAGGAGGAACAUCAGUGGCGAAGGCGGCUUACUGGGCUUUAACUGACGCUGAGGCUCGAAAGCGUGGGGAGCAAACAGGAUUAGAUACCCUGGUAGUCCACGCCGUAAACGAUGAUUACUAGGUGUGGGGGGACUGACCCCUUCCGUGCCGCAGCAAACGCAAUAAGUAAUCCACCUGGGGAGUACGACCGCAAGGUUGAAACUCAAAGGAAUUGACGGGGGCCCGCACAAGCAGUGGAGUAUGUGGAUUAAUUCGAAGCAACGCGAAGAACCUUACCAGGUCUUGACAUCGUAUGCAUAGCUCAGAGAUGAGUGAAAUCUCUUCGGAGACAUAUAGACAGGUGGUGCAUGGUUGUCGUCAGCUCGUGUCGUGAGAUGUUGGGUUAAGUCCCGCAACGAGCGCAACCCUUACUGUUAGUUGCUACGCAAGAGCACUCCAGCAGGACUGCCGUUGACAAAACGGAGGAAGGUGGGGAUGACGUCAAAUCAUCAUGCCCCUUAUGACCUGGGCCUCACACGUACUACAAUGGCUGUCAACAGAGGGAAGCAAAGCCGCGAGGUGGAGCGAACCCCUAAAAGCAGUCUUAGUUCGGAUUGUAGGCUGCAACCCGCCUACAUGAAGUCGGAAUUGCUAGUAAUCGCAGAUCAGCAUGCUGCGGUGAAUACGUUCCCGGGCCUUGUACACACCGCCCGUCACGCCAUGGGAGUCGGUACACCCGAAGCCUGUAGUCUUACCGCAAGGAGGACGCAGUCGAAGGUGGGAUUGAUGACUGGGGUGAAGUCGUAACAAGGUA